rnacentral:rRNA from 1 species
GAUGAACGCUGGCGGCGUGCCUAAUACAUGCAAGUCGAGCGAACAGACGAGGAGCUUGCUCCUCUGACGUUAGCGGCGGACGGGUGAGUAACACGUGGAUAACCUACCUAUAAGACUGGGAUAACUUCGGGAAACCGGAGCUAAUACCGGAUAAUAUAUUGAACCGCAUGGUUCAAUAGUGAAAGACGGUUUUGCUGUCACUUAUAGAUGGAUCCGCGCCGCAUUAGCUAGUUGGUAAGGUAACGGCUUACCAAGGCAACGAUGCGUAGCCGACCUGAGAGGGUGGUCGGCCACACUGGAACUGAGACACGGUCCAGACUCCUACGGGAGGCAGCAGUAGGGAAUCUUCCGCAAUGGGCGAAAGCUUGACGGAGCAACGCCGCGUGAGUGAUGAAGGUCUUCGGAUCGUAAAACUCUGUUAUUAGGGAAGAACAAAUGUGUAAGUAACUAUGCACGUCUUGACGGUACCUAAUCAGAAAGCCACGGCUAACUACCUG